AUCCAGCUGAUGAGUUCAGAAUGGGAAGAAACACGAGUCCUGGAU
rnacentral:hammerhead_ribozyme from 1 species